GAGGUGGUGGUAGGAGGAGGGUGGUGGUCUGUGCUGGGUCAGCUUGGCUGGAGCCUGUGCUGUUCAGUGUGCCCAGGGUUCCUGCUUGUAUCCAGUGUCUUCUGAUGUGAGGCUGGUACCUGUGCCACCUGCCUGCACUGUGACUUGGCUUCCCACCCUACAGAAUGGGAGCCUUCUCAGUUUCUCGGGUGCAAAACUCAAGCUUUGGACAACAGCAGGAGCAGUCAGUUAUGUUCUCACUCUGUUUGCUUUGGAAGUCCUGCAGUGUGCUGGUGUGAACACAGCCAUAGGAGUGGGGCAGUUCAGGAUAAAUCAAAAACAAAAGUGCCAUUAUCCAUAUGGGACCUCACGAGUGCAUCACAUCCCCCAGCAAUUCUGAGCGCUCUGUGUAUGGUUCUCGCUUGGUUUUAACUCAAUUUCUUUGAGAUGCAAAUCAGAGGGAUUAUAUUCAGAGACUGCAUCAGAAAGUCUUUAAUCCAAAUGGGCUAUAAGAUUUAUUUGGAAGAGCCAAAUGUCUUGUCUGGGACAGAAGCAACCGAGCUGAACUGAAACAGAUGGACGUAAAGGAAAUUAAGCAACUCUAAUGGUCUUAUCCAGAGUUUCAAAGUAUUUGGUCUUCGGAAAGCUCCAGCUCCUGGAAGCACGUGAUGAGAUGGGGAGCUCAAGUUUCAUUUAAAAACAGGCUUUGCAGUUCACUGAGAAAGACAAUAAUAAUGUUUUUAUUCCUCCUGUGUACAGAGGGAAGGCUGCCUUCCAAACCCCAGCUCCUCAGCUCCUGACGUCAGAUGGAAGUGUAUUGCACAACGUUUGAAUUCCUCAUCUUCAUCACAGUAUGGUUAUUUCAGUGGGCUGGAUUUGGGAUUUCGGAAGGUUGAUUCUUCCCCAGGUUCUUGGGGGUGCCAGGAGGUGAUCGCCCUCAUCUCUGCAAGGGGAAACCAUCUGCAGCCUGAGCAGUGAAGCCUUCCUGCUUGCAGCUGCGCCGUGCCCUGCUUGGCUCAAUGCUGAGUACCCAGAGCAGAGAAGCUUCACAUGUCUGUGCCUUGGCCAUCCUUCACCCCAGUGCUUUUGGAUUCGGAUUAAAUAAAAGGUGAGAGAAGUGGGGAGGGAGGGAGGGAGCGUGAGAAGGAGCUCAUCCAUUACCAUGCUGCGCACAAGGCGGGAGGUCUUGGCCUUCUGGUUUGAGUGCUUAUUCCCCAUAAAAUACAUCUGAGAGAAAUCAAUACAAGAAGCACGCAAGAACUUAAAUCAAAGCACAAAGAAGCUGCACUUGGCGAAUGGAGCGACCUUGCAGAGAGCUUUCAGAGCCAAGGGCCCAGCCCUGCAGAUGCAAAAGCUGUUGGUAAAAAAAAUUAAAAAAAUAGCAAGGCUGGCACGCGGGCUGCCAUGUGUUGCCUUAGCAUGGACCUCAGACACAGUGAUGUCUGUAUAGGAAAACAUAUGGACGAGAGGUGUUGGCCAUAGGCUGGGUGACCAGCAUGGGGACAAGCUGCCAGUUUUCCCCUAGAACAGCAAGGAGAGCUGAUGUGCUCUGGGACACCUAUCUCAGUUCAACAGGUUAUAGAUACCAGCACUGCACCUGGCUUGGCAAAGCACCGUGUCCUCUAGGCUGUAGCUGUGCCCAUGCAAGACCUCAGCCCACGGGAACAAGCGUGCAGAUCAGAGCAGGCUUUGCAAGCAGCAGGCUGUUUCCAGCAGCAACCCGUGCAUCCAAGCAGGGCCACCUGAGCGCAGGUGCCGACUGCUGACCCCACUGCUGGGUCACAGCACCGUGCUGCAGACACCAUAAAUCUGCAGAGGUUUGCUGCAGUCAGAGCUCCACCUCUGCAGACCGCGGGGCGCAUGUUCCCAUGCUGGGAAAUCUGACCCCAUGGUAGCCUGAGAGACAGGAGAAGCCUGAGUUUGGUGUUUUGAAUAAGUGGCUUUUUAUCUGAAAUCCCUUUGGGAGCAUGAGCUCAGUAACCAAUGAAAUUAUAUCUGUUGUUUCAAGCAGUGAAGAAAACUUGGCCUGAUGUUUAUUGAGAUUUAUGGCUUCCCUUGAGCUUAAUUGUCUUUGGGAGCCCUGGAUCUUUUUAACGGUUCAGCUAAGUGGUACUAAGAAGGAUGGUAAUGGUUUGAGCAGCCUGCCCCCUUAGCAUAUCUCUUUCUCUCACACAAUUUGCUGAUAUUUGGGAAAUACAGCCGAUGCACUUCCCUCCCGAGGUCACAGUUAUUCAUUGGUGUGAAACUUCAAGAGACAAAAUCAGGUGUGAAAAGCUCCCAGCAGUGCCUCCUUGGUGAGGCGAUAGCUUCGCCCCUUGGGGCCAUGCAGCGGGGAUGGGGAGGACACAUGGGUUCACCUGUACCCCUGCAGGGCCCUGUGGCCCCUUCUCCCUUUACUGCAGGCUCUUGGGUAUAUGUAGCUUCCAUUGCUUGCCAUUGUUUCCUCCUUGCAGGGGAUUCGUGGUGGUCGGGGCAUUGGCAUCACCCUAUGGAACAGCCCUUGUGAUGCAAGGCUUGGGAGGGAGCUCCUCCCAUUGGUCUGAACUGGGGAAGGCCCAGCUCCCACCUCGUGCUGGGUGUCCCAGUCGCUGGGUGACCAUCCUCAGACCCAGCGCUGUCACCAGGAGCAGAGCAUCGCCCUUCACACACCAUUACUCCUCACCCCCAGAGCCUUUUCAUCUCUUAUCAGCCGUGACCCUCGGGCUCUGUUAUCUCCCCCCAGCCAUCCACCGAAGCCUUAGAGCUGUCAGCAUGGGGAAUGACCUUCACCUCCUCACUCACCUCCAGGAGAUGCUGUGUCCGCUCGGCCGGGCGCAUGGUUGGCUGCAGCAGCACUGCCUGCUGCCCGGAGCCAGGUGCUUUCCCACCCUGGGGAGUUGAAGAGGAGGUGGCAGCGUUGGCUGUGGGUUGUUUCUGAACUCGCCCAUGGAUUGCUAAUGAUGUUUGUGAAAGCCCUGAAUGAAGACCACACACGGGAGGCUCAGGCAAGUGAUGUACCUUAGACCUGGAGGGUGAGAGGGAAAAAUGCUUUUGUGCCUGACUCACCGGCUCUGUGCUAACACUGACUCAUAAUUACUGAUUUUGAUUCAGGGGAAAAAAAAAAAAAAAGAUUUAUCUGCAUUCAGACCUUUGGAAGAGGCCAAUGCAACCUGCUAAUGAAGAGCGGAGGUGGUGCUGCUGUGCUGUCCACAGCCUCAUGCGGGCAGCCCUGCAGAUGAAGAUGUCUCCUGAGCAGCACGUUGGACCUGAACGCGUGUUUGCGUGGUUCCCCUGCCACCAGCACAACGGGAGCUACACGGCGGCCAGCCAUGCAGAGCCAACAAGAAAAGCCUGCUGAAGAAAGGCACCGGCGAUGACAAUACCCGUUUGCAGGACGGAUUAAAGCUCAGAGCAGCGUCUGGGCUUUGUGCAGGGGCGGCUCUGAGCACGAAGCGUGGUGGCAGGAGGCUACAAAAGCCGGGAUCCCACACAGCCCCAUUGUCAGCAGUGCUAACCCAGCCCAUGCAAGGCUCAGUCCCCAUCGCUGCCAGGACCUGCUGCCCUGCCCUCUCCCAGUGCCCUGCUCGUGCCACCUUGCCUCCCUGCUGCUCAGCCCCAUGCUGAGUGGAACCCACCCCCCUGUGCCAAGUGUUAAAUACUUAUCAAGCUAAUACAGCGUCUUCGCGGAGGUGCGUACAUGAGACAACAUGUUACCGUAAUUAACAAGCAGCUGGAGUUGGCAUCGUGCUGCAGCUGCUGGCGGCGGCUCCCAGUGCCUUUCCCAGGGCUGCAGCUCUGCCCCAUCCAACAGCAGGGGAAUGCUGAGGCGGGGGGAAUGCCUUGCAGGUCCCUUUCUACCACGCAGGAGGUGGUGAUGGCUUUCAGCCUGGGAUCUGCAUAGCCAUGGAGGUCUGGGACUAUUUCUGGGUUGGGUAAAUGGGUCCAUUCCCAGCAGGCAAAUGCUUACACAAGGGGUGAGGAGCCGUUGUGGGGGGCACUGAGUUGGGAGCUGUAUGGAAUCCUGCUGCUGGAGUCUCUGGGGGUGGUGGCUUGUCCACCUGGCCAUGGAAUCACAGUGCUGGGGCAGUGAUGGUCAAGUGCCACUGGAUCUGUGUGAUAGGUGUCAGGGACCAGUGGUGGCACCGGUGCUGGAGAGAACUUGGGAGAAAGAGAGAGUGGCUGUGAUGGGACUGUAAACCCAGCCCUGGGGAUGAAGGUGGCAGAGUGGGGUUGGUGGGGGUCAUUUAUUUGGUCAGACUUACUGAGAUGAUGUAGAUCCAUCCCUCUGCUCAGCCCUAUGCAGAUCUGCUGCACAAAACCUCCCCAUCCUUUUGAAUUGCCUUGAGCUCCCUAGCUUUCCAGCCCCAGAGAAGUCAUCUCAGCAGUUGAUGUUUGUAUGAUGACCUACAUUGCUAUUGGGUUUUAAAUAUAUAUAUUUUUACUGCACUGUAUGCUAGCUUCCCACAUGCAAAUUGCUCUGAGUGAGCCAUUUAUCUGGAAAAUAAAGGUUAU